AGGGCUUUAGCUUUAUGAAAGUAUCUGGGUUGCAUUCAGAAGAUAUGGGAUAGAAUCCCGUAAGUCUAA
rnacentral:tRNA from 1 species